rnacentral:rRNA from 1 species
UACGUAGGGUGCAAGCGUUGUCCGGAAUUAUUGGGCGUAAAGAGCGUGUAGGCGGCCAGGUAGGUCGGUUGUGAAAACUGGAGGCUCAACCUUCAGAGGUCGACCGAAACCAUCUGGCUAGAGUCCGGGAGAGGAGAGUGGAAUUCCUGGUGUAGCGGUGAAAUGCGCAGAUAUCAGGAAGAACACCCGUGGCGAAAGCGGCUCUCUGGAACGGUACUGACGCUGAGACGCGAAAGCGUGGGGAGCAAACAGG